UGAGGAAUAUUGGACAAUGGGGGAAACCCUGAUCCAGCCAUGCCGCGUGAGUGAUGAAGGCCCUAGGGUUGUAAAACUCUUUAAGUGGAGACAAUAAUGAUGGUAUCCACAGAAUAAGCCACGGCAAACUUCGUGCCAGCAGCCGCGGUAAUACGAAGGUGGCUAGCGUUACUCGGAAUUACUGGGCGUAAAGCGAGUGUAGGUGGAAUAACAAGUCAGAGGUGAAAGCCCAGAGCUUAACUUUGGAAUUGCCUUUGAAACUGUUAUUCUUGAGAUCGGUAGGGGAUAGUGGAAUUCCUAGUGUAGAGGUGAAAUUCGUAGAUAUUAGGAGGAACACCGGCGGCGAAGGCGACUGUCUGGACCGAUUCUGACACUGAGACUCGAAAGCGUGGGGAGCAAA
rnacentral:rRNA from 1 species